UGUUUUGAGAUCAAAGCGAGAGCUGCAUUUAGCCACCUGUGCACAUUUGUACAUUUGUUCGUAUUCAUUGCUAGUGAGUGAGUUAUUAGCCCAGUGAUAGGUCAUUUGUAGUCAACAAUAGGGGUGAUUGCUUCCUACAAGAGCACAAAAUGUGUACAUUUCUAGACACUUUUGAAGAAAUGUGUCAGUAUCUGCCUGUCUGAAGACUCGUGUCCUCUGCAGCAGGGCCUCGGGGCCUCAGGGCUUCCUGCUUCCUGGAGAGAGGCGCUCGAGACCCCAACAGAUCCACAAACCGGUAAACCGACACAGACAGACACAUGCAGUCAUAGAGUAUAGAACGUACACACUGCACUGUCCUCUGGAAUGUAACGGUAUGUAAAUCAACGUAACUGGAGGAGAGAGGCAGUCAGAUCCCUUUUACAUGAAGGAAACCUCGUGGGGAUAUCACUGAUGAACAAAACAGAGGAUGACAAUGCUUUGAAGAUGGCAGUUCAGCAGUCAUGGAUUAUUAUUAUUUGUAUGCAUGAGGAAAUGACCCGAGGGCUGUAAAGCUGGUGCUGAAGUCUCUAAGGUGUUGACGCGGGGCAAUUUCAGUUAUUCACCACGAGGAGCGAGGAGGACGGGAGGAAUACCAACCUCAUCUGAUACUCACCUGGGGCAUGAGUCUGACUGCAUUCCACACAAGUCAUUACAAUUAUGCUAAUCAAUUGCACCAUUAGGCCCGGAGCAAACACAGACACCGUCUAUAUAAACACACACCACAUAUACAGACACGCCCACUUGCACUCACACAUGGUUUGGUAUGUCGCUCUCUAAAUCCGUUACAGUUAAUAGUUAUCUUUCCAAAACUGUGUAAUCAGUAAGGUAACUGUUAGAUUAACCAAACUCAGUAACGUAAUCUGAUUACUUUGUUACUUUUGGAUUACUUUCCCCUUAAGAGGCAUUAGAAGAAGACAAAAAGGAUCCAUCAAACGCUUUUGGUGUGUCAUCAUAGUAGUCACUGACUUGUGGUCAGACUCGCUCAGGUGGAACAAAUUUAAAAUUGCGCCUUUUUUCAAUGUUUAAUUGAAUUGUAUUCAUAAAACA